rnacentral:rRNA from 1 species
UACGUAGGUGGCAAGCGUUGUCCGGAUUUAUUGGGUUUAAAGGGUGCGUAGGCGGCCUUAUAAGUCAGUGCUGAAAUAUCCCGGCUUAACCGGGAGGGUGGCAUUGAUACUGUAGGGCUUGAGUGUAGUCGAGGUAGGCGGAAUUGACGGUGUAGCGGUGAAAUGCUUAGAUAUCUGGAGGAAUACCGGUGGCGAAGGCGGCAUCCUGGACCGACAUUGACGCUGAUGAGCGAAAGCUAGGGGAGCAAACGGG